UAAGUGAAUAGUGAAAGCUGGAGGCUCAACCUUACAGGCUAUUAUUCAAACUCACAGACUCGAGAAUGGUAGAGGUAACUGGAAUUUCUUGUGUAGGAGUGAAAUCCGUAGAUAUAAGAAGGAACACCAAUGGCGUAGGCAGUCUACUGGCUCAUUCUUGACACUAAGGCACGAAAGCGUGGGGAGCAAACAGGAUUAGAUACCCUGGUAGUCCACGCCGUAAACUAUGGAUGCUA
rnacentral:rRNA from 1 species